rnacentral:rRNA from 1 species
GGCGAACGCUGGCGGCGUGCUUAACACAUGCAAGUCGAACGGAAAGGCCCUGCUUUUGUGGGGUGCUCGAGUGGCGAACGGGUGAGUAACACGUGAGUAACCUGCCCUUGACUUUGGGAUAACUUCAGGAAACUGGGGCUAAUACCGGAUAGGAGCUCCUGCUGCAUGGUGGGGGUUGGAAAGUUUCGGCGGUUGGGGAUGGACUCGCGGCUUAUCAGCUUGUUGGUGGGGUAGUGGCUUACCAAGGCUUUGACGGGUAGCCGGCCUGAGAGGGUGACCGGCCACAUUGGGACUGAGAUACGGCCCAGACUCCUACGGGAGGCAGCAGUGGGGAAUAUUGCACAAUGGGCGGAAGCCUGAUGCAGCAACGCCGCGUGCGGGAUGACGGCCUUCGGGUUGUAAACCGCUUUCGCCUGUGACGAAGCGUGAGUGACGGUAAUGGGUAAAGAGGCACCGGCUAACUACGUG